GUGUCAGCAGCCGCGGUAAUACGAAGGGGGCAAGCGUUGUUCGGAAUUACUGGGCGUAAAGGGCGCGUAGGCGGCUUAUCAAGUCAGGCGUGAAAUUCCCGGGCUCAACCUGGGGGCUGCGCUUGAUACUGAUGAGCUUGAAUGCGGGAGAGGAUAGUGGAAUUCCCAGUGUAGAGGUGAAAUUCGUAGAUAUUGGGAAGAACACCGGUGGCGAAGGCGGCUAUCUGGCCCGUAAUUGACGCUGAGGCGCGAAAGCGUGGGGAGCAAACAGGAUUAGAAACCCCCGUAGUCC
rnacentral:rRNA from 1 species